rnacentral:rRNA from 1 species
UACGUAGGGUGCAAGCGUUGUCCGGAAUUAUUGGGCGUAAAGAGCUCGUAGGCGGCUUGUCGCGUCGGCUGUGAAAACCUGGGGCUCAACCCCGGGCCUGCAGCCGAUACGGGCAAGCUAGAAUUCGGUAGGGGAGACUGGAAUUCCUGGUGUAGCGGUGAAAUGCGUAGAUAUCCGGAGGAACACCAGUGGCGAAAGCGGCCACCUGGACUGUACCUGACGCUCAAACGCGAAAGCUAGGGGAGCGAACGGG